rnacentral:tRNA from 1 species
GCCCUUGUAGCCUAAUGGAAAGGCGGCGGUCUUCUAAGCCGCUAUAUGUAGGUUCGAUUCCUACCAAGGGUG